UACGCGAGGUCCAAACGUUAUUCGGAAUCACUGGGCUUACAGAGUUCGUAGGCGGUCCAGAAAGUGGGGUGUGAAAGCCCUCGGCUCAACCGAGGAACUGCGCUCCAAACUACUGGGCUAGAGGAAGAUAGAGGUGAGCAGAACUGAUGGUGGAGCGGUGAAAUGCGUUGAUAUCAUCAGGAAUACCGGAGGCGAAGGCGGCUCACUGGGUCUUUUCUGACGCUGAGGAACGAAAGCUAGGGGAGCAAACGGG
rnacentral:rRNA from 1 species